GACGAACGCUGGCGGCGUGCCUAAUACAUGCAAGUCGAGCGAAGUUUUUCUGGUGCUUGCACUAGAAAAACUUAGCGGCGAACGGGUGAGUAACACGUAAAGAACCUGCCUCAUAGACUGGGACAACUAUUGGAAACGAUAGCUAAUACCGGAUAACAGUAUUUCUCGCAUGAGAGAUAUUUAAAAGUUGGUUAUGCUAACACUAUGAGAUGGCUUUGCGGUGCAUUAGCUAGUUGGUGGGGUAAAGGCCCACCAAGGCGACGAUGCAUAGCCGACCUGAGAGGGUGAUCGGCCACACUGGGACUGAGACACGGCCCAGACUCCUACGGGAGGCAGCAGUAGGGAAUCUUCCGCAAUGGGCGAAAGCCUGACGGAGCAACGCCGCGUGAGUGAAGAAGGAUUUCGGUUCGUAAAGCCCUGUUGUUAGGGAAGAAUGGAUAUGUAGUAACUAUACAUGUAAGAGACGGUACCUAACCAGAAAGCCACGGCUAACUACGUG
rnacentral:rRNA from 1 species